rfam:Candidatus Woesebacteria bacterium RIFCSPHIGHO2_12_FTLL_41_24 rifcsphigho2_12_scaffold_10363, whole genome shotgun sequence.
CGCAAAUUUAAUUUACAGUACGCAGACAGUGGAUGCCUUGGCUUUGUCCACCGAAGAAGGACGUGCAUGGCCGCGAAAGUCGUCGGGUAGCUGCCACGAAGCUUUGAUCCGGCGGUGUCCAAAUGGGAAAACCCAACCGAGCUCAUCCUCGGUUACACCGUGAUGAAGUCGCUUCGCAUAUUGCGUAUGAACUCGGAAUUUUCAAUUUUCAAACUCCAAUUUUCAAACAAAUUCAAAUUUUCAAUUUUCUAAAUUUAAAAAAACAUUUAGAAUUUAAGAUUUUGAUAAUUUUGUAUUGUUUGGAAUUUGAGAUUUGGAAUUUUGUUAUUCCGCAAAUUCGUAUGUAAUACGCGGAGCGUAUUAGUUGCGGUUGUGGGAACCCGGGGAACUGAAACAUCUAAGUACCCGGAGGAAAAUAAAUCAAUCGAGAUUGCCUUAGUAGCGGCGAGCGAAACGGCAAUAGUCUAAACCUUAUUCGUGCUUGCAUGAGUGAGGGGUUGCGGGACCUCAAUGUGGGAGUAAACACUAUAGUAAAACGGCAUGGAAUUGCCGGCCAUAGAGAGUGAAAGCCUCGUAUACAAAAUGGUGUUUGCCUCUAGAGGUAUCCCAAGUACCACGGUGCACAUACACUGUGGGAAUCCGGGGGAACCAUCCUCCAAGACUAAAUAUGAGACAAAGACCGAUAGUGAACUAGUACCGUGAGGGAAAGGUGAAAAGAAGGGCGGGACGCCCAGUGAAAUAGAACCUGAAACUGUUUGCGGACAAACCGAGAGAGCUCGUGCGUAGCACGAGAAUUUUCAAUGUUCAAUGAUCAAUAAUCAAUGAAUUUUCAAUGUUUAAAUUUUCAAAAUUUGAAUUUUAAUUAUUGGUAUUUGUUUGAGAAUUGUAAAUUGAGAAUUGGAAUUUCUCACGCUAUGCGUGAGUGAUCUCGUGCCUAUUGAAGAAUGAUCCGGCGAGUUGCCGUGCUUUUUUGUCUAACCCCGCCGAGCGGGGGGAGGCGUAGGGAAACCGAGUCUUAAAAGGGCGAAAAAAAGAAAGUAUGGCAGACCCGAAACCAGGUGAUCUAGCCAUGAGCAGGGUGAACCCCGAUGAAAAUCGGGGGGAGGCCCGAACCGGUUGUUGUUGCAAUAACAUCGGAUGACUUGUGGCUAGCGGUAAUAUGCCAAGCGAACCUGGAGAUAGCUGGUUCUCCCCGAAAGGUCUAUAGGGACCGUGGCCGUUUGAAAUUUAGAAGUGGUAGAGCUACUGGAUGGGUGUGAGAGGGUAACCGAUUACGUUCAACCAAACUCCGAAUAAUUCUAAAUGUAGCGGCUAGACAGUCAUACGGGGCUAAGCUCGUGUGGCGAGAGGGAAACAACCCAGAUUCUCAUCUAAGGCCUCUAAAUUUACCUUUCGGCCGUAAGGCCGUAAGUUUACUUAAGUUUAAAAGGAAGUCGUAUUCCCCAGACAACCAGGAGGUUGGCUUAGAAGCAGCCAUCCUUUAAAGAAAGCGUAACAGCUCACUGGUCGACUGGAAUGUGGCGCCUAAAAUUUAUCGAGGAUUAAAGGUAGUGCCGAAGAUAGAAAAGCAGCGCAAGCUGCUUGGUAGGGGAGCGUACCAAUUACAGUGAAGUCCCGAUGUAAAUCGGGGUGGAGUUUUUGGUAGUGAGAAUGCCGGAAUGAGUAGCGUACAAUGCCUGUGAGAAUCAGGCACACCGAAUUCCCAAGGUUUCCGUCGCGAGGUUCGUCCACGACGGGUUAGUCGGUUCCUAAGACGAGGCCGUUUGGCGUAGUCGAUGGACAAGCAGUCAAAAUUCUGCUACUUAUUUUAAGUCGCAAGAGCGUCCCGAUUUAUCGGGAUGCUAGUUGGGGGUUGACGAAGAUGGAUGAUUGAAGCGAGGACGUGAAGCCUCGUGCAAGUUGUUAAAUAGUCCCGAACAGAAAAACUUUCGGGGUGAUCAAUUGAGCAGUGAUGCAGAUCCUGUCGAAAGAUGGGGGAUUUCAUACAAUUCAACUUACAAGAAAAGACUCGCAACAAGACUUAAAGUGAGCCGUACCGUAAUCCAACACAGGUGGGAUGGUCGAGAAGACUAAGGUGAGCGAGAGAAGGAUCUUUAAGGAACUCGGCAAACAAACUACCCGUAACUUCGGGAGAUGGGUUGCCCCCGAUUUAAUCGGGGGUUGCAACUAAAGAGUGCUAGUCGGCUGUUUAUCAAAAACACAGGUCCGUGCAAACUCGAAAGAGGCGGUAUACGGGCUGACGCCUGCCCAGUGCCGGUAAGUUAAGGGGAUGGGUCCCCCGAUUUAAUCGGGGAGGCUUUGAACUGAAGCUCCGGUCAACGGCAGCAGUAACUAUAACUGUUCUACGGUAAAGGAUGAAAUCGUUGCCGUAGUAAAACCUAGCUAUAUGCUGGAAUAUCCUGUUAAACAGAAGCUACUAUGGUAUGAUCGUCCUGUAGAUGAUUACAUCAAGUAACAAAGCUUCUAGUAGGGACAAUCAGCAGGAAAGACCAAUUUAAAAAAGGAGGUGGUGUUUAUCUUAACUUUAAGAUAUGAGCGCAUUUCCGCCUUGGAUAUAUUUGUAUCCCCAUAGGAGUAUGGCAAUGUAGACAAUAGAGGAGAUACACUUACAAAAAAAUUAGUGCCUCCGCUCGUCUAUUAAAUCACUUUUUUAAAGAUUGGAAUCCCCAGAGACUAUACGCUAGGCCCUGAGUAAAAUCGAAGGGAAGAUAUAGUCCGAUCUCUAUGGAAACAUAGAGUUAACAUUUUCUGAGCGAAGUUCCUUGUCGGGUAAGUUCCGACCCGCACGAAAGGCGUCACGAGCUAGCAACUGUCUUGAAGAUUCACUCGGCGAAAUUGCGUUGGCUGUGAAGACGCGGCCUACUUGUACCAGGACAAAAAGACCCCGUGGAGCUUUACUGUAGUCUGGCAUUGGUUUGUGCAUUUUAAUUGUCAAGAAUAGGAGGGAGCCGUAAGGCAAUAAUGUGAUACCUCUCUUUGAAAUGUGUCAAAUCUUUACUCAUAAGCCUUGCAGACAGGUUUGAGGAAGGUGUCAGAUGGGCAGUUUUACUGGGGCGGUACCCUGCUAAAAGGUAACGCAGGGGUACAAAGGUUAGCUUACUACGGAUGGAAAUCGUAGGUUAAGUAUAAAGGCAUUAAGCUGGCUUGACUGCAACACCGGCGGGUGGAGCAGGUGCGAAAGCAGGUCUUAGUGAUCCCCCGAUGUGCAAUGGGUGCACACGGGGCUUAACGGAUAAAAGCUACCCCGGGGAUAACAGAGUAGUCGCGCCCGAGAGUCCAUAUCGACGGCGCGGAUCGCUACCUCGAUGUCGGCUCAUCACAUCCUGGGGGGGGAGCACCUCCCAAGGGUUGGUCUGUUCGCCCAUUAAAGUGGUACGUGAGCUGGGUUCAGAACGUCGCGAGACAGUGAAUAGUCCAAGCGGUCUCACCCUUUAGACGUUUUGAUAUUCGAGAAGUUGUUUUUUUGUCCAAAUAUGAAUGAAGGGAUAUAAAUCUGGCUAUAUGCUGGAAAAUCUCGUAAAAUGUUUAUCUACUAGUAUAUAAUUUAUUGACUAGUGAAAAUGAUAAACCUGAGACUAUCAGCAGGAAAGGCUGGGUUAUGUCUUUGUCGGAUGACUAUCUAAUUGGUUUUGUUGAAGGAGAGGGAAUGUUUUAUAUUGGUAUAGUUCCCUCGAAAGAAACAAAAUCAGGAUGGCAAGUUAUUUAUUUUUUCAAAGUUUCCCAAAACCCUGUCGGGAAGACGGUUUUGGAAGAACUGAAAAAGAGAUUAUCUUGUGGUUAUAUAAAAGCUAAUAGUCAAACAGAUAAAACUGACAAGUCACUUGCAUUUGUGGUAAGAGACUUAAUAAGUUUAAAAGACAAAGUAAUUCCAUUUUUUGAUAAUAAAUUAGUUAUCAAAAAGGGUGCUUUUAAGAAGUUUAAACGAGUUAUUGAUAUCGUAGUUAGAAAAGAGCAUCUUAAUAAAAUUGGAAUCCAAGAGAUUUUAAAUAUUGCUUAUUCGAUGAAUACCCAGAAAAGGAGGGUUACCAAAGAGCAAAUACUUAAAUCUUAUUUAACCUAGAAUCCCCAACGACUAUACGCCAGAAGCUGCGAAGCUAGAAUUAGCGAAGUGGUUAAGAUAUAGUCUGAUCUCAUAGGUGACUAUGAGGAUUGAUAAUUCGUUCAGUCGUAAAAACGAGCGAAAUGUGAUUGUUACAUUAAUGUCGGACUCUAUCCGGUACAAGCGUUCGAGUCUUGAGGAGAGCUCUCCCCAGUACGAGAGGACCGGGAGGGGGAAAUCCCUAGUGUGCCGGUUGUCACGUCAGUGGCAACGCCGGGUAGCUACAUUUCUAACGGAUAACUGCUGAAAGCAUCUAAGUAGGAAGCCAACUCCAAGAUUAGGACUCGUCAUCAGAUCCCUGGCAGACUACCAGGUUAAUCGGCAGGCGGUGGAAGGCAAGUCAAUUGCUUAAGCCUACCUUGCACGAAUCGAUCGAAUUAAUUUGCGAU